UUAUCAAGAAGUGAAAUUCAGUAAUCGGCUGUGGAAAAUGUUUGGCUCAGAAGGAUGCGAGGUUCUGGGAAGAAUGUGUUACAUCUCCAGUCAGCAAUAGUGGACAGAGCAUAGAUUACAGGUUUUACAAAUGCUGAAGUUGAGAAGUGAAAUUCAGCAAUCGACUGUGGAAAAAGUUUGGCUCAGAAGGAUGCAAGGUUCUGGGAAGAAUGUGUUACAUCUCCAGUCAGCAAUGGUGGACAGAGCAUAGAUUACAGGUUUUACAAAUGCUGAAGUUGAGGUUUGCAUAUAAGUCUUCUUUUUUAUAUUAAAAUUGAAAUUCUACUUCCAAUUAUUUUGUAAUAUAUAUUUUCUAUUGUACUGUUUAUAUAUAUAUUCCUGGUCAUUCUAUUUCGUUUUGUUUUUUAUUUUUGUUUUGUUUUAAUUUUUCUCUUGGUUCGUAUACUACAUUAUAUUUUGUGUUGAGUAUGUAAAUGUUCAUUUUGGGUUUUUGGUGUUCAUGUUGUGUUAAGUAAGUAAAUGUUCAUUUUGGGUUUUUGGUGUUGUUUAUACAUUCUUUAUCAUUAUCAGUAUGUGUUGUUGUUCUGCUUUGCUUUUUGUUUGAUAUUUUUUCAUCCAUUCAUUUUGUAUUUAGUUUUUAGUUAUUUUGUACAUUUCUAUUUAUAUUGUACUUUUCUUGUUUAAUUUUUUUAGUAUAUUACUUGAAAUAUUUGUUUUUCUUAGAAUUAGUAAGUUUCAUUGAGUUUAAAAGGUUUCAAGGCCAUAUUAAGAAAAUGAUAUGUUGUCUUAAUACAUAAUUUGUUCUUAUUAUCAAGAAGUGAAAUUCAGCAAUCGACUGUGGAAAAUGUUUGGCGCAGAAGGAUGCGAGGUUCUGGGAAGAAUGUGUUAUAUCUCCAGUCAGCAAUGGUGGACAGAGCAUAGAUUACAGGUUUUACAAAUGCUGAAGUUGAGAAGUGAAAUUCAGCAAUCGACUGUGGAAAAGGUUUGGCUCAGAAGGAUGCAAGGUUCUGGGAAGAAUGUGUUACAUCUCCAGUCAGCAAUGGUGGACAGAGCAUAGAUUACAGGUUUUACAAAUGCUGAAGUUGAGGUUUGCAUAUAAGUCUUCUUUUAUAUAUUAAAAUUGAAAUUCUACUUCCAGUUAUUUUGUAAUAUAAAUUUCCUAUUGUACUGUUUAUAUAUAUAUUCCUGGUCAUUCUAUUUCGUUUUGUUUUUUUAUUUUUGUUUUGUUUUAAUUUUUCUCUUGGUUCGUAUACUACAUUAUAUAUUUUGUGUUGAGUAUGUAAAUGUUCAUUUUGGGUUUUGGUGUUCAUGUUGUGUUAAGUAAGUAAAUGUUCAUUUUGGGUUUUUGGUGUUGUUUAUUCAUUCUUUAUCAUUAUCAGUAUGUGUUAUUGUUCUGCUUUGCUUUUUGUUUGAUAUUUUUUCAUCCAUUCAUUUUGUAUUUAGUUUUUAGUUAUUUUGUACAUUUCUACUUAUAUUGUACUUUUCUUGUUUAAUUUUUUUUAGUAUAUUACUUGAAAUAUUUGUUUUUCUUAGAGUUAGUAAGUUUCAUUGAGUUUAAAAGGUUUCAAGGCCAUAUUAAGAAAAUGAUAUGUUGUCUUAAUACAUAAUUUGUUCUUAUUAUCAAGAAGUGAAAUUCAGCAAUCGACUGUGGAAAAUGUUUGGCUCGGAAGGAUGCGAGGUUCUGGGAAGAAUGUGUUACAUCUCCAGUCAGCAAUGGUGGACAGAGCAUAGAUUACAGGUUUUACAAAUGCUGAAGUUGAGAAGUGAAAUUCAGCAAUCGACUGUGGAAAAUGUUUGGCUCAGAAGGAUGCAAGGUUCUGGGAAGAAUGUGUUACAUCUCCAGUCAGCAAUGGUGGACAGAGCAUAGAUUACAGGUUUUACAAAUGCUGAAGUUGAGACAUAAAAGUGUGUUGUGAAGAUGGAUUUCAUCAAUCAUAGUCAACAGUAUGAGUUGUGGACAGAGCAAAGCAAAGAUUACUGAGGAAUAAAGAUCAGCAAUGUGGAGUGGAACUAUUUGGGGUCUAAUGAACAUGUUUAGGAAGACUGGUUAAUAUGAGGUUUAUAUCACCUAUCAGCAAUUGUGGAUAGAGCAAAAAAUACAGAUUUUACAAAUGCUGAAUUUCAGGUGGAGAACUGUGUUGCUGAGUUUUGACUUUAGCCCAGAGAAAUAGAGCAAAAGGCCUGGCAACUCAGCAGCUACCAAAUGCAAAAACACAGAUGCUCAAUUUACAGGUAUUGUUCAUGUGCAUUCACAUGGAGAAACGAGACACUUGGGCAAAAACGAAACUUGACAAAAACACAAAAAGUUACAUUUAAUUAGGCGACAAUCUUUUGAAUUUAAAAAAUUCAAAUGGGUGAACUACUUUAUCAAUUCUUCAAAAAAAAAAAAAAAAAAAAAAA